UACGAAGGGUGCAAGCGUUACUCGGAAUUACUGGGCGUAAAGCGUGCGUAGGUGGUUUGUUAAGUCUGAUGUGAAAGCCCUGGGCUCAACCUGGGAAUUGCAUUGGAUACUGGCAGGCUAGAGUGCGGUAGAGGAUGGCGGAAUUCCCGGUGUAGCAGUGAAAUGCGUAGAGAUCCGGAAGAACACCAGUGGCGAAGGCGGCUUGCCAGAACGCGCUCGACGGGUGAGGGAUGAAAGCUGGGGGGAGCAAACCGG
rnacentral:rRNA from 1 species